GGAGAGAUGCCCGAGAGGCCGAAGGGGCUCCCCUGCUAAGGGAGUAUGGGUGCAAAACACCCAUCCAGGGUUCGAAUCCCUGUCUCUCCGCCA
rnacentral:tRNA from 2 species